CUUUUAAACGAGUCAUUGAUCUUUCAGCCAAUUCACAAUUGGCUGGAGGUACUUGACCCCAAGACAUUGACGGUUGUUUGCCAAUCACAUACUAUUCUCCCCAAGAAGUUCAAGGACAGUUGCGUUAUUUGUCACUAUUUUGAAUUUAGGUAAAAGGUUGCGCCUAAUUUUCGGCAGGCAUAUACAUUAUCUUAAGGUUAUUGAAGCUAUUAAUCAUUUCAACACUGAAUUCCAGCCCUUGAAAACGAAGUGCCAUCUGCGAUUGCUUCCAUACUUUAGCUCGUUUCAAUUAAGUAAUCAUUGUGGGUAAGUGCGUUGUAUGUUUUCUUAGGUGCCAAACAACUUUUUCAACUGCCCUCAAUCAUUCAUCCUAAAUACUUAGGCAAGUUGCAACAUGCCCAAAAUUAUUGUGUAACGUGACAAAACACGUAAUAUGACUUGACAUUUUUUUUUGAAAGCCUACCGACCUAGCCCCUUUUUUUUAUUUUUAUUUUUCAGAAGAUUAUCCAGGAACGAAUUUGUCCAAUUUAAUUUAUCGUUGUUUUUGUUUGAUUUUUUUAUGAUAAAAAAUGAGUAAAUGUUUAUAAACUGAGAAUAAUGGGUCUGAUUAAUCAAAAAGACCCAAGAAAUUAAGAAAUUAAAAAUAAAGGAGAUCAAUCUACAACUAAAAUAUCUAAAAUCUUUCAUAACAUCCAACAACUUGAUAUACAGUCAUUAGACCAACACAUACCCAAUUUCACACUUUUGAUUUCGCGACAAACCUAAAAAAAAUAUUAAAAAAGAAUAUGCAAAGCACACCUAUGACAUUGACAUAUCAAAAAACAAAUUAAAACAUUUUCUUAAAAUUAAAGUCUAGAUUCCACAUGUCACGUCGCAAAAGUGACAGCUCACAUGAUAACGCACGCAUCGGGGUUUUCAUCGCUGAACGCCGUGGUGUAGCGCACUUCCGUGGAGCUCGCACGUGCGAGGUUCCUCAUCUGCGGGUCCUGCGAGUUCCGCACGUACCCGGACGGCGCCUUCUUGUCGUACA
rnacentral:lncRNA from 1 species